rnacentral:rRNA from 1 species
UGGGGAAUCUUGCACAAUGGGCGAAAGACUGAUGCAGCGACGCCGCGUGCGGGAUGAAGGCCUUCGGGUUGUAAACCGCUUUCAGCAGGGACGAGGCCGCAAGGUGACGGUACCUGCAGAAGAAGCCCCGGCUAACUACGUGCCAGCAGCCGCGGUAAUACGUAGGGGGCAAGCGUUAUCCGGAUUCAUUGGGCGUAAAGCGCGCGUAGGCGGUUUGUUAGGUCAGGAGUUAAAUCUGGGGGCUCAACCCCUAUCCGCUCCUGAUACCGGCAGGCUUGAGUCUGGUAGGGGAAGGAGGAAUUCCAAGUGUAGCGGUGAAAUGCGCAGAUAUUUGGAAGAACACCGGUGGCGAAGGCGGCCUUCUGGGCCACGACUGACGCUGAGGCGCGAAAGCUAGGGGAGCGAACAGG